AAAUUAUCAACCAUGACUUGGGUUUAGGCCCUCGUUCACGGCUUGGAUUUGGGUGCUUGCGGCCUCGCGCUGCUCACCUCAAAAGGAUUAGCUGGACAUGUCGCUUGACUUGGUUCUACUUGGCGUAAUAAGUAUUUCGCUGAGGACAUCCCUCGGGGUGGCCAGGACUCGCGGCUGACGUCUGCUUUCUAACUCGACUGUCCUCGGACAUCACUUUUUUAUG
rnacentral:misc_RNA from 1 species